AUUAUGUCACACCUGGAAGAGCGUGUUUCCCAGGUCUCACAUGGGGUAUCACCAUGAAGUACUGGCUACCCCAGAUCGCUCUAGGCUUGAACCCAAAGAUCCUCCUGUCUCUCAGGACAGCUACUGGCUGUGGAGAAGAGGCAGGCAGGAGGAAAUAGCCCCCGGAGGUCCUGUCGGAGAAGCAGCUGCCUGUUUUCCUCAAAAGUGUUGUCCUAAGCUCUGGUCUGUGAUGAAGUACUCGGAGGGGAGCAUCGUGCAGGAUGAAGGGUCUGACUUGGCUCCAACAGCAUAUCCGUGGCAUCUACUUGCCUUUUCCUUUCCCGUUGUCAAAGUGGCUUUGUCUGGGACAGAACCCAAGGUUGAGCUGAAGGAAAGGAAGCUGAAAGCAGUGUAGUCACUGGGAGAGGACACCCAGCUAAGGGGACCAGCAGGAUGAGGAGGCAGCAGAGGCCCUGGAGAUCCGGCAGUGAGCUAGCACACCACAGCCCCAGCCCUCACGGGGUCAUGUUCUAAAGGGGAGACAGAUUAGAAAAAUAAGCAAAUUGAUCUUAAGGUCACACAGAGGCA
rnacentral:lncRNA from 1 species